rnacentral:rRNA from 1 species
UACGAGAGGCCCAAACGUUAUUCGGAAUUACUGGGCUUAAAGAGUUCGUAGGCGGUAUGACAAGUGAGGGUGUGAAAGCCCUCGGCUUAACCGAGGAAUUGCGCUCUAAACUGUCGUACUCGAGGAACCUAGAGGUGAGCAGAACAGAUGGUGGAGCGGUGAAAUGCGUUGAUAUCAUCUGGAAUACCGGAGGCGAAGGGCGGCUCACUGGGGGUUUUCUGACGCUGAGGAACG